GUUAACCGCAGCUUAAUUGACAAUGCUGGGAGGUCUUUGUUCGUUUGCCGAACACGUGGCGGCGGCCAUCUUUGAUCAUUCGACGAGGUCAGCGGUAUGUGUAGCCAAAUUCAUGGAACUAAAAUCGGCUACACAUUUCCGCGAACACCGCUGAGCUCUACCUUCUCCCCUACUGGUUUUACAGCUGCAGAGACUAAGUCCCAUUCAGCCUGAAAUAGACCGACCUCACAG